rnacentral:lncRNA from 10 species
AAAAGGACAUCCUCUUCCUCAGUGCCAUUGCUGUGUAUCAAAUGGUUGAAAGGCAGGACAAUUGUGGUGAUUUCUAGGAGGAAAAAAAAUAGGGUUUUAGUGAGUCAACAACAGGAUGAUAGUGGAUUUCCUGCCAUACCUAACUUGCCAAAUAUUUAUCGAGCAUCCACUGAUAGGUGUGACAUGUAAUGGCUGCAGGCUGUAGUGCGAAGAGUGUGGGCUUGAGAUAGACCUAUGUUUGAAUCAAGAGAUUUCAGCCAACUGUUCACAUGAAUUUAGGCAAAUUAAACAUAGUUUUUUAAACUUUCAAAUGAGGAUAUUAUAAUAAUAACUGUGUCACAGAAUAUUUCAUGUAGAUUAAACAAACUGUGAUGAUUAAUUUUCUGUGUCAACUUGGCUAGGCCACCAUACCUAGGCAGUUUGUCAAAUACCAG